GAUGAACGCUGGCGGCGUGCCUAAUACACGCAAGUCGAGCGAACUGAUUAGAAGCUUGCUUCUAUGACGUUAGCGGCGGACGGGUGAGUAACACGUGGGCAACCUGCCUGUAAGACUGGGAUAACUUCGGGAAACCGAAGCUAAUACCGGAUAGGAUCUUCUCCUUCAUGGGAGAUGAUUGAAAGAUGGUUUCGGCUAUCACUUACAGAUGGGCCCGCGGUGCAUUAGCUAGUUGGUGAGGUAACGGCUCACCAAGGCAACGAUGCAUAGCCGACCUGAGAGGGUGAUCGGCCACACUGGGACUGAGACACGGCCCAGACUCCUACGGGAGGCAGCAGUAGGGAAUCUUCCGCAACGGACGAAAGUCUGACGGAGCAACGCCGCGUGAGUGAUGAAGGCUUUCGGGUCGUAAAACUCUGUUGUUAGGGAAGAACAAGUACAAGAGUAACUGCUUGUACCUUGACGGUACCUAACCAGAAAGCCACGGCUAACUACGUGCCAGCCGCCGCCGUAA
rnacentral:rRNA from 1 species